rnacentral:rRNA from 1 species
GUGGAUUAGAUACCCUGGUAGUCCACGCCGUAAACGAUGGAUACUAGCUGUUUGGUUUUCGGACUGAGUGGCUAAGCGAAAGUGAUAAGUAUCCCACCUGGGGAGUACGGGCGCAAGCCUGAAACUCAAAGGAAUUGACGGGGGCCCGCACAAGCGGUGGAGCAUGUGGUUUAAUUCGAUGAUACGCGAGGAACCUUACCAGGGCUUAAAUGUAGAUUGACAGGACUGGAAACAGUUUUUUCUUCGGACAAUUUACAAGGUGCUGCACGGUUGUCGCCAGCU